GACGAACGCUGGCGGCGUGGAUUAGGCAUGCAAGUCGAACGGUAUCAUCCUUUCGGGGGUGAGAGAGUGGCGAACUGGUGAGUAACACGUAGGUUAUCUACCCUCAAGACGGGGACAACCCAGGGAAACUUGGGCUAAUACCGGAUGUGAGCAACUUUUAGUUGUUUGAAAGGUGGCGUAAGCUGUCGCUUGGGGAUGAGCCUGCGUCCUAUUAGUUAGUUGGUGAGGUAACGGCUCACCUAGGCAAUGAUAGGUAGGCGGCCUUAACGGGUGGUCGCCCACACUGGGAUUGAGAUACGGGCCCAGACUCCUACGGGAGGCAGCAGUCGAGAAUAGGUCUACAAUGGUCGGAAGACUGAUAGUGCGACGCCGCGUGAACGAUGAAUCCCUUCGGGGUGUAAAGUUCUUUUAUACGUGAGCAGUGCCCUUUAUAUGAAUAGUAUAGAGGGAGGGAUUUAAGCGUAUGAAUAAGCAACGGCUAACUCCGUGCCCAGCCAGCCGCGGUAAACUAGUCUACG
rnacentral:rRNA from 1 species